rnacentral:rRNA from 1 species
UACGAAGGGGGCUAGCGUUGCUCGGAAUCACUGGGCGUAAAGCGCACGUAGGCGGUUUCUUAAGUCAGGGGUGAAAUCCUGGAGCUCAACUCCAGAACUGCCUUUGAUACUGGGAGACUUCGAGUCCGGGAGAGGUGAGUGGAACUGCGAGUGUAGAGGUGAAAUUCGUAGAUAUUCGCAAGAACACCAGUGGCGAAGGCGGCUCACUGGCCCGGUACUGACGCUGAGGUGCGAAAGCCAGGGGAGCAAAGCGGGAU